GCGGCCUAUCAGCUUGUUGGUGAGGUAAUGGCUCACCAAGGCGACGACGGGUAGCCGGCCUGAGAGGGCGACCGGCCACACUGGGACUGAGACACGGCCCAGACUCCUACGGGAGGCAGCAGUGGGGAAUAUUGGGCAAUGGACGAAAGUCUGACCCAGCGACGCCGCGUGAGGGAUGAAGGCCUUCGGGUUGUAAACCUCUUUCAGCAGGGAAGAAGCGAAAGUGACGGUACCUGCAGAAGAAGCACCGGCUAACUAUGUGCCAGCAGCCGCGGUAAUACAUAGGGUGCAAGCGUUGUCCGGAAUUAUUGGGCGUAAAGAGCUCGUAGGUGGUUAGUUACGUCGGAUGUGAAAAUCUAGGGCUCAACCCUAGACCUGCAUCCGAUACGGGCUAGCUUGAGUUUGGUAGGGGAGACUGGAAUUCCU
rnacentral:rRNA from 1 species